rnacentral:rRNA from 1 species
AGUGAACGCUGGCGGUAGGCCUAACACAUGCAAGUCGAACGGCAGCACAGUAAGCGCUUGCUCUUACGGGUGGCGAGUGGCGGACGGGUGAGGAAUACAUCGUAAUCUACUUUUUCGUGGGGGAUAACGUAGGGAAACUUACGCUAAUACCGCAUACGACCUACGGGUGAAAGCAGGGGAUCUUCGGACCUUGCGCGAUUGAAUGAGCCGAUGUCGGAUUAGCUAGUUGGCGGGGUAAAGGCCCACCAAGGCGACGAUCCGUAGCUGGUCUGAGAGGAUGAUCAGCCACACUGGAACUGAGACACGGUCCAGACUACUACGGGAGGCAGCAGUGGGGAAUAUUGGACAAUGGGCGCAAGCCUGAUCCAGCCAUACCGCGUGGGUGAAGAAGGCCUUCGGGUUGUAAAGCCCUUUUGUUGGGAAAGAAAAGCAGCAGGUUAAUACCCCGCUGUUCUGACGGUACCCAAAGAAUAAGCACCGGCUAACUUCGUG